GCGCUGGUAGCUCAGUGGUAGAGCAGAGGCCUUUUAAGCCUAAGGUCGUGGGUUCGAUCCCCACCCGGCGCACCA
rnacentral:tRNA from 3 species